CAGUUAUGCAUACAUUAUUGUAUUUAAACCCUGGUUCUGAGCUCAAAAUAAAGCACUUUCCCACAUGACUGUGGGGACGAGCACUUCUGUGCUGUUUGGAAUUUUUAUAAUUUAAAAACAAAUACUGCCACAUUGAUGCGCAAGAAGGUUUAAUUGUUCAAAUAUUGUUUCAUAUUAAAAUAUAUAAAAAAAAUUGUUUUCAAUAUAAAAAAAAGUGUUUUCAAGUGUAAUAUUUCUGUAAAGGGACAGAAAAGUGGACUUUUCUGUAGAAUGACCCAUUCAUUGUAAAAUGAAGUAAAUAUUAAAAAUGAACAACUUUCAUGUUAGCCUAUGGGAAAAAAUAAUGGAGUAACUUCAACCUACUAACUAAUUAAAGAUGUCAUCAGAUCAUGUGUGCUUUCAGCAGUUAAAAUUUUAAACAUCAAAAUCAUGAUGCCCCCCAAUAGUAGGCUACUGAAUAUAAGAUGUGGGAUAAUAUAAGAAUGGGACAUUUUAUCCAAGUCAUCUCAAUGGUAAAAAGUGUCCCAAUCACCCUGAACUGGAGCUCUAAAAUAAUGUUAUUGACUUCAACUGAUGAAUGCAGCCAAAGAAAAGAUGAAGAAUGGAAAAGCACUUUGCUGGCAAAGAAAUUGGAAAAUAACACAGGUAAGACAAUUCCUAUACCCAUAAAUACCUGUCAAACAUGGUUUUAUUAAAGAAAAGUUAUUUUAAAAAAAUUACUUUAAUUUUUACACAUAAGAAAGGUAUAGCAUGUGGCAAAAAGUGUAAUAUAGCCACACUGUGAGAUACAAGCAAGUGACAAUCGAGUGACGUCAUUCUUUAGGUUACGCGCAUGUAUCCAUGGCAACGCUCGGCGUCGACAGUUAACGGUCCUGCCGGUGAUUUUCUCAGAUGAGGCCUUGAGUUUUCUCUUUCGUCGGUCAAAAAGGUUAGAAGCCAUCGAAAAAACUGCCAUCGGACUGCCACAGCUGACAACGAGAGACGCGCGUGCACAACUGCAUAACACACACACACACACACACACGGAAAGAGCACAACAAUUAUGAAACUGAUAAUUUAUUAUAAAUAAAUAAAUGUAUUUUUCUCCUUA